UCUAGCUAGAGCUAUAUCUCCCUGCAGUUCUCGCCUGGUUUACCACUGAAGCUAAGUAGGGUUGAGCAUGGCUAUUACCUGGAUGGGAGACCUCCUGCGGAAAACUAAGUUUGCUGCUGGAA
ensembl:rRNA 5S_rRNA 5S ribosomal RNA